AACUCGUAUGGAUUUUAUUUCAAACCAUGCAAAGCAUCCACUUUGCCGCUGAGUGUUUAUUUAAUGCAGCCACAUUAAUUCUAAUGCAGAAUAACCAUCUGUCUUUUAGACAGGAUCUAAACUUUUGGACUUCAGAUUUAGCAGAGAAAAACAAAUGCAAGGAAAGGGGAGAAGAGAAGAGCUUUAAAUUCUAGCUCUCGAGGAAGGUAUUAGGAAAACCACCUCAGCGAUGGCCUGCUCAUUCGGGCGGACACCUUCGCCCUGCUUCUCAGGGAUCAGAAACACCCACUUGGUAAAGAUACGGCUUCACAGUUGUGGCGGCCCAGGUGGAGAAACACCUCCUCCUUCCCCUCCAGGUCUGUAGGUGGUUGUUCGAGCUGCUCUUAUGUCCCCCCCCACCCCCCCCAUUUAAUGUUUUCAUUCUCACAUUGAACAUUUUCUAGUUCUAAGAGGAUGGUGAGAAGUUUUUCUCUCUAACUGCCCGUUCUGGAAGGAAUGCCUCGCUUUGCUUUCCGAAUCAAGCCCGUGCACCUCUCUCUGCCCCUCCCUUUUAUCGUCAUUACAGAGAAGCGAAGGAGGGCUCUUUAUUCUCCAGGUCGUGUCUCUCAUCUUCCCCACCUUCCCAAGAUUCUCUUACAGCUGCUCUUUGAGCCGGUUUGAAAGGACGCCUAAUGAAAGCAUCCUAGUAAUUUUCAGAACAAGUCAAGAAAGCCCAUCAUUACUCCGUCAGCUCUCUAACUGAGUGCUUCCCUUGUCUCUAGGCCCUUCCAGCUUUGUCAGUUGGACGUUUGUUUGUUUGUUUCCCUGGAAGAGCUUCAGGUCCCGAGCUGCCUGCCCGUGGGUGUGUCCCCAGGGUAUCCACCUGUGUUGGAAGCGCUGCAAACGCAAACUUGUAGCCAGGUGACUUCACCUGGAUGACCGCCCAGCGCAGUAGACCAGGAGUGCCCAGCGUGGUUGUGAGGGAAGCUCGGGGUGAACAGUGGCCGUCACCCCCACUUCUCACACUCUUGGGGGUUUUCGUGCGGGGAAGGAUGUGGUCCUGAGCGCCGCGCUGAGCGGCUCUGAGCCCGUGCCUGCAGCAUGGCUCUUGGUCCUCAUCAGCUAAUAGAAACGGCAUUGUGCUUAGUGUCCGGGUGGGUCUGGGGCUGAGUUCGCACGUUCUGUGAAUCCUCUGCUCUCAGUACAAACAGUCCCUUUGGCCCGAGAAGCACCAGACUCUGGAAAGCUGAGAUUUUUCCUCGAGUGAGUUUGCUGGUAAGUCAAAGAAACAAAUUAACCUAACUGAAGACAUCAGGAUAUAUGCAGGCCAGCAGGAUUCAGGUCUCACAAAGAUUAGACACAUAUUAACGAUUAUCAUUCUCAGCAAACGUUUGAACCCCGCUCUGCCCUUUUGUGCGACUGCUGUUGUCUUCAUGGUUUCCUUCAAGCCUGAGUCACUGAUGAGGCAGAACCUGUAGGUGUUUUUCCUCCCAACUCCAGAAUGUUUGCAAUGAGUUAAUCUUCUCAAAAGGAAACCAAGAGUUUCAUGACUCCCCACAGGUAAUUCAGUGUGGAGCAAGAGUGAAAAGGUGAGUUGCAAUGAAGCACAAAGUGGGAAACAGUGGAUUCCCCAAAACCACGCCGCUGCUGCCGCCGCCGCCGCCACCACCGGUGAGGCACACCAGCCCCCAAGCCCCAGGAUUGCUGGAGUUACCAAGUUAAUGUAUUUCUCGGGUCUAUUUUUGUAGCAGCAGCCCACUGUACGCAGCAUGAAUGCUACCUCUGAAAUAGAAUUACCAAGAUGUGAAAAAUGAUGGAAUUCAUUGAAAUGAUAAAAUCGCAUCUGUUACGAGAACUUUUGGCAAGGUUCCCGGCUUUUCAUUCCUUAAGAGAAAUAACGAUGUGUUAGUCCCUGAAAAAAGAAAACUCAGGAUAUGUGAGUCAUGACUCAAGUGGAAGACCAUCGAGUACCUCUGCAAAUACCCCAUGACUGAUUUUUUUGGCCUUUACAGCUAUUUGUUAUCCCUCCGAGGUGCAGUUUUACAGUGAAAAAAAACUUUCUACAUACAAAGUUCACACUUAGGCCGUAAAUUCCGUUUGUGGUUCAUUCCUUAUGGUGUGAGGAUACAGUUCAGUGAGGGAGUAAAUAAAAACGUUUAAAACAAUUAAAAAGGAGUGUAUAUGUAUCUGUGUGACUGGGUCACUUUGCUGUACAGCAGAAAAUUGACAGGACACUGUAAACCAGCUAUAAUGGAAAAAGUAAAAAUCAUUAAAUUUAAAACAAAAGGAAAAAAUUGGCAGAAUGAUGGUUGAAAAUAACAUCCACCUGAGGGAUGAAAGUUCGGGUCUGGGGAGAGGUAGUUUCGGUUUUCAGAAGAUUUUCUCCGCAUGGGCGUCUCUUAACACCCAUGUAGGGUACUGGACGUCUCAGUCCCACCAAAUGCCCCAGCUCUUUCGUCUUCUGCUUCUGUAGGGCUUAGGGUUGCCAGAUGAAACACCGGACACCCACUUAAAUCCAAGUGUCAGAUAAACAAGUUCUCUUUCUUCUUAAUUAAUUAUUAUUGCUUUAUUUAUUUGUUUAUUUAUUUGCUGCACCUGUGGCGUGUGGAAGUUCUCAGGCCCAGGAUCGAACCCACACCACACUUCUGGCCUGCACCACAGCUAUGGAGGCAACGUCAGAUCCUUAACCUGAUGUGCCACAAGGGAACUUCCAAACAAGCUUUUUUGUUUUUUUUAAUUUAAGCAUGAGAUAUGCAUAUACUAAACAAUCAUCUGCUGUUUAUCUGAAUCUUAAUUUUUUUUUUUCUUUUUAGGGCGGCACCUUUGGCACGUGGAAGUUCCCAGGCGAGGGGCUGAAUUGGAGCUGCAGCUGCCAGCCUACACCACAGCAGCACCAGAUCCGAGCCGCGUCUGAUCUGGUCUCAUCACAGGUCAUGGCAACACCGGAUCCUUUAAUCCACUGAGCGAGGCCAGGGAUUGAACCCACAUCCUCAUAGGUGCUAGUUGGAUUCUUAUCCUGCUGAGCCACAAUGGGAACUCUUGAAUCUUAUAUUUAAUGGGAUAUCUUGUAUUUUCAUUUGCUAAAUUUGACAAUCCUUGAAGUGGUGCCUAUUUUCACAUGGAUGAUGUUACUUGGUCAAUAAAAACAAAGUUGAUUUGCAAUCUCAGCAUAGCAGCUGCUGAGUACGUAUGAAAAUACAGGAUGCAAUAAUGCAUUUUGGGAGCAAAAAGUCAUAUGUGUUUGGGAAAUAAAGCUCACCAUGAAAGACUCAAACUUCCCGUCAGCACGUUGACACCUCUAAGAAAUUUCUAACCUGGGGAAACUGUAAAAAGUUUUCUAUAAGCCAGGACUACUUAAUCUUAUUUUUCGCUGGAGAACAGGAUGUGUUGCCUUUAUUGGGGAAUGGAGAGGAAGGUACCGUGUGUGUGUGUGUGUGUGUGCAGGCACACAUGUGCUCCUGAUUGGUGUGUGUGUGUAUGUGUUCCUGCACAUGCGUGCUCAUGAUUGUGUAAUAUGCCUCUGGGAAAUACUGGGAAACAGGAAUGACUAUGACUUCUGAGACUAUCACUUCUGCACAGUUUAUUUCAACACAACGUGAAAAAUACCUCUUGCCUUUCAUGUCUGUUCCCCUGCGUGUCUCCUGAGAUCUCGGCGUCAGGUGAAAAGGAAGGGGGUGUUCUUAUGUGUCUUCUCGGUCGUCCUUAGGACUCCUGUACAAGACGAUGACCUUAUUUUCAAACGCAUCUCUGGUAAGUGUGAGCUGAAGAUAACGAAGUACCUCUACAGUGAGAAAUGUUACAAAUGGAACACGUGCAACAGUAAAUCCCAAGAAAGGGUCAACUUUGAGAGAGUCCGCUUAGCUUUGUAAUUUUUUUUUUUUGCUUUUUAGGGCCACACCAGAGGCAUACGGAUGUUUCCAGGCUAGGGGUCAAAUCGGAGCUACAACUGCUGGCCCACGCCACAGCAACUCCAGAUCUGCGCUGCGUCUGCGACCUACACCACAGCUCACGGCAACGCCGGAUCCUUCACCCACAGAGUGAGGCUGGGGAUGGAACCUGCAUCCUCAUGGAUACUAGUUGGAUUCAUUUCCACUGUGCCACGACGGGAACGCCCUCAGCUUUGUAAUUUUACCAACACCGUAUCCCUUUUCUCUGUGUGAUCAUCCAUGCCUGUAUGUGUGGUAUUCAAUUCCAAGGUGUUGAAAAUAACUGUUGGAAAAUUCUUUCUCUCCGUAUUUCCUGAAGUCUGAGGUUCAGCCAUUCUGAGAGCAUUGUGUGGUUUUUCAUUCUCAGUGCUGUAGUCGUUACGGGUUUGGGACUGAGAUCGAGAUGCAGAGUUUGGUUUUGCCAGUAAUUUCCUAUGUGAGCUUGAGCAGCAUAUGAAGACUCUCUCACCGGCCAGGUCGUUGGUGAAGUGUGUAAAACAGUGCCUCCGUCAGAGGCUUGAGUGAGGUCCUGCAUGUAAAGCCUUCGGCCUGAGUAGAAGUACCGUGACCUUAGUGCGGUGCUGCUGAUCGCUGUUUGAUUCCAGCUGGUGUGGUGGCUGUUGCAUCUGGAGCAGUCACACCCCUUGGUGCCGGCACAUGGUGGAAACGAGGCAUUUCUUUGCAAGCCUGGUCUCAGGAACUCCCUGAGAUGACAUCACCCCGGGCUGUCUUGGGCGCUGCACAGCAGGGCGGGUUAUUCCAGACCAUGCAUGUCUCCCACCCACUGCCAAGCACAGGCCGCGCUCGACAUGGGGCGUGGGGGCGGUUAGAGGAGUGCAGAGGGCCGAGGAUGCCACCAAAGAUAAGGACGGGAGUGUCAGAGCAAACAUUUCCUACAUGACAGUUUGCCCAGGAGCAGCCCAGCCUCCACGCACACCUUCGUUGCAGAAUGGCUUACGAGGAGAGGGUGUCAGGGCUUUCAGGCAGGUUCUUCAGAGACGCGGAACCAGAACCAGAGCAUGUCUCUCUCCGUAUCUGUGUGUACCCAUGUCUACGUCGAGAGGUUUACAGUUAGCCAUUGGUUCAUGUGACUGUGGAGGCUGAAAGCCCCCAGGUCUGGCCAUCGGGAAAGAUGGUGGGCGAGGUCCAGCCCUGUGGGAAGGCUGAGAACCGGGAGAGUCAGUGGGGGAACCUCUAGUCCAGGAGCCACUGGGCUCCAGACACAAAAGCCGAUGUUUCUGUUGGACUCAGAAAGCAGGAGGUGACCAACGUCCCCGCUGCAACUCAGGCCGUCAACUGCUCAGAUGAGGCCCACCCACACGGGUGGGCAGUCUACUCUACUCAGUCUUCUGAUUCAGGUGUUAAUCUCACCCAAAAAGCACCCUCCCUGACACACCCAGAAUCACGUUUGACCAAUGUCUGGGCCUGGUCACACUGACAUAUAAAAUGAACCAUCAGAGCCUUCAGUGAAUACCUGUGGAAUCAAAGAGUACACGCAUUGCACUCAAUUUAUACGUGAACAUACACAAGAAUAUCCUGUCAUUUCUGAACUCAGACCCUUACAUUUCAGGACUUCAUAAAUUUCAAAAUGUAUAAUGUAUGUAGGAUGGAAGGCGAGAAUGGAGAAGCCUUUCUGUUAAGCCCAUCACUCACACUUUCCCUGAAUGUUGAGUCACCUCUAAAAGUAGAGCCCUGGAGUUCCCGUCGUGGCUCGGUGGUUAACGAAUCCCACUAGGAACCAUGAGGUCGCGGGUUCGAUCCCUGGCCUUGCUUUAGUGGGUUAAGGAUCCGGUGUUGCCAUGAGCUGUGGUGUAAGUUGCAGACGCGGCUCAGAUCCCUCGUUGCUGUGGCUCUGGCGUAGGCCGGUGGCUACAGCUCCAGUUGGACCCCUAGCCUGGGAACCUCCAUAUGCC
rnacentral:lncRNA from 1 species